rnacentral:rRNA from 1 species
GUGGGGAAUUUUGCGCAAUGGGCGAAAGCCUGACGCAGCAACGCCGCGUGGAGGAUGAAGGUCUUUGGAUUGUAAACUCCUGUCAGCAGGGAAAAAGCGACUGGACCUAAUACGUCUGGGAGUUGAUUGUACCUGCAGAGGAAGCCCCGGCUAACUCUGUGCCAGCAGCCGCGGUAAUACAGAGGGGGCGAGCGUUAUUCGGAAUUAUUGGGCGUAAAGGGCGCGUAGGCGGCUUUGCAAGUGACGGGUGAAAGCCCUCGGCUUAACCGAGGAACUGCCUGUCAGACUGUGAGGCUUGAGACCGGGAGAGGUGAGUGGAAUUCCCAGUGUAGCGGUGAAAUGCGUAGAUAUUGGGAGGAACACCAGUGGCGAAGGCGGCUCACUGGACCGGAACUGACGCUGAGGCGCGAAAGCGUGGGGAGCAAACAGGAUUAGAAACCCCGGUAGUCC